rnacentral:rRNA from 1 species
CCUACGGGAGGCAGCAGUGAGGAAUAUUGGUCAAUGGACGAGAGUCUGAACCAGCCAAGCCGCGUGAGGGAUGAAGGUUCUAUGUAUCGUAAACCUCUUUUAUAAGGGAAUAAAGACUGGGACGCGUCCCAUGUUGAGUGUACCUGAUGAAUAAGCAUCGGCUAACUCCGUGCCAGCAGCCGCGGUAAUACGGAGGAUGCGAGCGUUAUCCGGAUUUAUUGGGUUUAAAGGGUGCGCAGGCGGGCUUUUAAGUCAGCGGUGAAAGCCUGGGGCUCAACCAUGGGAUGGCCGUUGAAACUGGGAGUCUCGAGUAGGUGUGAAGCAUGCGGAAUGCGUGGUGUAGCGGUGAAAUGCAUAGAUAUCGCGCAGAACCCCGAUUGCGAAGGCAGCAUGCC